AUAUAGCCGUUAUAGGAGCGUGAGAGAAAACUCGGUGUUUUCUGGGAAGCUAUCUGUGAUGGACGACACAGUGUUGAUCCUGUUCCUACCGGCAGUCUGGUGCUGGGAAUAAUUGGGGGAAAGGUCAUUAUACUGAAGGCGCUGAGUUGAUUGAUGUUUUUCUUGAUGUUGUUCAUGAAGAGGCGGAGAAUUGAUGCAAGAUGCUGACUACAAAGGGUGUGGAAGAGGCCGUUGAAGCUGGGAAACAUGCAUGACUCAGCACCGCUGCGAGAAGGUUCUUGUUGUUGUCUGUCACACCAACGAUUUUGUGUCAUAUCUAUCAGCAUGGGUUGCCGUGUCUUCUAAUCUCUCCUCGUGUAUGUAUGCAUAAAGUUAUUUCUCUACAUAUUCUUUCCAUCUUAUAACUAUUGUUUUGGAAUCUGAUCAAGUUGCGCUCUCUCCAUAUAACAGCUAUCACCAAACCAAACAAGCAGCUGAUAUAACAACCCACUCUACUUCAUCCUGCCAAGUACCAUUUGUUCUCUGUAUGUUCACCCAUAGUAGCAUCUUACGCCAUAGGCUUUGUGUAACAAUGCGUUCGAAGAAUAAGUGGUCUCUUGUUUUAUCAGCAGAUUGACAGAAUACACAUGUAGGAAGAACAUUUAUGCCGAACUUCUGUAAUCUGUCAACUGUAGCAAGCCUUCUUUAGUAGAGCCAACCAUAGAGAGAAUUUAUGUUGUGGAUGGAUACUAGGAUCCUGUUAGGCACUUCUAAGGUACUUAGGUAGCUGAGGGGGGCAUAAAAACAUACAUCAUUUUUAUCAAGAACUUGUUAACUGUAAUAUGUUUCUCAGAUCACCUAGGAUUGUAGGAGGAGCAUCAUAGGUGCAGGCCCAAGUAGUCAUAUUGCAAAUAAAAUGGCUAAUAUGAUUCCUUGAACCUCAAACAACCAUUAUGCCUUUCUGAGUAACAAACAAAAGUAGCUCGGGAAGCAGCAAAAACCUUCAACCUUAUGGUUUUAUGAAGUUCUUUCAUCAACGGCAAAGUCUUUGUUGCCUGAGAAACUAUCCAAACCCCAUUUUAAAUAUGCCUCAAUUUUUACUGUUCGGAUGCAAAA